GCUCCGGUGACCUAGUGAUUAGAGCGUCCGCCUCGGAUGCGGGAGGUCGUGGGUUCGAUUCCCGAUCGAGUCA